GCAUAUCAAUAAGCGGAGGAAAAGAAACCAACAGGGAUUGCCCUAGUAACGGCGAGUGAAGCGGCAACAGCUCAAAUUUGAAAUCUGGCUCUUUUAGAGUCCGAGUUGUAAUUUGCAGAGGGCGCUUUGGCUUUGGCAGCGGUCCAAGUUCCUUGGAACAGGACGUCACAGAGGGUGAGAAUCCCGUACGUGGUCGCUGGCUAUUGCCGUGUAAAGCCCCUUCGACGAGUCGAGUUGUUUGGGAAUGCAGCUCUAAAUGGGAGGUACAUUUCUUCUAAAGCUAAAUAUUGGCCAGAGACCGAUAGCGCACAAGUAGAGUGAUCGAAAGAUGAAAAGCACUUUGGAAAGAGAGUCAAACAGCACGUGAAAUUGUUGAAAGGGAAGCGCUUGCAGCCAGACUUGCUUACAGUUGCUCAUCCGGGUUUCUACCCGGUGCACUCUUCUGUAGGCAGGCCAGCAUCAGUUUGGGCGGUAGGAUAAAGGUCUCUGUCACGUACCUCCUUUCGGGGAGGCCUUAUAGGGGAGACGACAUACUACCAGCCUGGACUGAGGUCCGCGCAUCUGCUAGGAUGCUGGCGUAAUGGCUGUAAGCGGCCCGUCUUGAAACACGGACCAAGGAGUCUAACAUCUAUGCGAGUGUUUGGGUGUCAAGCCCGAGCGCGUAAUGAAAGUGAACGGAGGUGGGAACCCGCAAGGGUGCACCAUCGACCGAUCCUGAUGUCUUCGGAAGGAUUUGAGUAAGAGCAUGGCUGUUGGGACCCGAAAGAUGGUGAACUAUGCUUGAAUAGGGUGAAGCCAGAGGAAACUCUGGUGGAGGCUCGCAGCGGUUCUGACGUGCAAAUCGAUCGUCAAAUUUGGGCAUAGGGGCGAAAGACUAAUCGAACUAUCUAGUAGCUGGUUCCUGCCG
rnacentral:rRNA from 1 species